rnacentral:lncRNA from 1 species
CUGAAUUUGACACCUUUUUUGGGUUAGGGUAUCUGUGAACCGACAGGGGUUUAUCGCAACCCAUUACUGAAGCAAUCAAUUGCAUAUACCUGUUUACUUGUCUAUCUUUUCCCCCAAACUGAGAGCUGUAUAAUAGCGGGGAUAGUGUCUGUCUAAUUUAUUAACCUUGAAAGGCUGCUGCUCUCCUGGUCCUUCGGCUGGACAGAGCAGACUUCUGUUGGGGCUUUUCUGGUCUGCAUCCAUUGAUGUUUCCAUGUCAAGGGCUUCUUUAGCUCCAAGUCUGGAAUACAUGACGCAAAAAGAAAACCCAGAGAACUCAUGAUUGUGUUGUUUCUUAGUUCCUGAGGUCCCCAGCUGGUCUGCCUUCUUCACUCCACCUUUCAGAGUCUUUUAAAGUUUGCUUUAUGUAUACAAUGUCAAGGUUUUUAUUUGUAUUUAGGAGAAAUAAGGAAACGUAUGUUUUCUUCAUCUUCCCUGAAGUGAAUGUUGUCCAUAUAUACUUUUAUAAAGGUUAAAACACUGGCUCUGAGUAAUCUGAAAAGGCUACAGACUUUAUGAUUUCAACUAUAUGGCAUUCUAGAAAACACAAAACUAUGGAAACAGUACAAAGAUCAGUGGUUUCUAGAGGCUGGGGGGAAGGUGGGAUGAAUAGGUGGAGCACAGGGAUUUUAGGCUGGGAAAACUAUUCUGUAUGAUAUGACAAUGGUGGAUACUUGCCAUUAUACACCUGUACAAACCCAUAAAAUGUACAAUACAAUGAGUGAACCCUAAUGUAAACUACAGACUUUGGGUAAUAAUGAUGUAUUUAUGUUGUUUCAUCAUUCUACCAAAUGUAACCCUGGUGGGGGACCUUGGGGUGGGGGUGGGCUGUGUGUGUGGUGGGGAAGAGCAUGGGGGAGCUC